UAGAACUCGGCGUGAUCGCGCCUCUGGGAAGCAGAGCUCUGGCGGUUGAAGGAGCGUGGGGUGAAGGGCGCGAAAUUGGGGGCAGGCAGAGAGAGAGAGAGAGAGAGAUCAAGAGAAGCUGAAUGGGACACUGGGGUAGCAGGGCAGGUGAAGCCCGGCAGAGGAAGCCGCGGGAGGCCGAGCUGCCUGGCCGAGGGCGCGUGAGGAGGUUGCCGCUAUUCCCGCAAAUGAGGGUGGAGGAGAAGACAGACAGAGCAAGGGAGCCGCAGGGUUGCCUGGACUUGAGCUGGGACAGGAGUUGCGGGGAACGACAAGGGCCUUUGGCUGGCGGCUGUUUUCCGAGUCCUGAAGUCACCCCGCUGCCCGCCUAUAACCUCGCGCCCAAAAGGCAGGGAAGUCAACCUGGAGUCCAGAGGGAGAGCACCAGGCGCUGCCCGCCCUCUGUGUGGACCUCGGCAAGAAGUUGGGGGAUAGAAACGGCCACCUUAAGCCGCCUUUUUUCCCAUAAUACUUUUUUUAUCUGUUACAUAAAGGGCCGUUAUUGUGUUUCGAAGUUCCGUGGGUUUUAAACUGCCGCGACAGGAUUUGCAGGCCUGCCUAGGGCCAUGAAGGGGCUGACUUAAAUUAAGACGGCUUCUUCAUUGCACAUCUCACUUUGUUCGGAUUUGCUUAGGGGGCUUUAGCUAGAUGGAGCUAGAUGGAGAGAAAAAGGUCAGCCGCAUCCCCUUUGCUUCAACUGAAAACUUUCAAACUGCUUCCUUGGAGGUCAUCCGAACCCAGACAGAGGGAUUAUCUCUUCUAUUUAACCUCUAGACAUGGAGGUAAAAGUAAGACGAAGUUUGUGAUUCUUUCAUUUUUCAUCCCCCAUAAAAUUCUCCUUCCCAUUGAACAAGAUUCCUGAUGGUGAAAUAAGAAUAUGGGAUGGAGGAAAACACAGCCUUCUCCCAUUCUUCACCGUAACCCUGAUCCAGGUCGGCAUGCACCCAACAAUAUGUCCAAGGUUAUAUUUGGCCUCUCCUGUUGGAGAAUUGUAUAUUUAUGAGACAAAUUCCUUAGACACAGAGGUCCUAAUCUGUCUUACCUCAUUUCCAUUGCCACUGUGUGAGAAGGUGAAAGAUGUAGCUUACCACAAGGGUAUUUUAGGUACUCCAAAUACUGUUUAUGCAUUAUUUAAAUCCCCUCUUCCAUAGCCUGAGCAAUAUAAAGCAGGCAAGCCUCAACUAAUCUGAUGAAAUAUCUCUGUUACAAAGAAAAUUAUGUGCUUGAUUUUCCUUUUUAUUUGUUUUCCAGAAAUCAAACCAUUUUCACCACAGCGCUCCUGUAAUCGAAGUGAUUUCAAGUGGAUUUUAAUUCCAGCACUUCAGGAAAUAAAAAGACCCCCCCUGCCGUUUCUCACAAAAAGCAAAGACAUGAGUCAAACUGUUUCCUAUCAGCAUUUUCUGCAGCUGCAGUUUAAGGAGCUAGUAUUCAUUUCAGAAACCAACUGCAUCUACUCUUGGAGGAUGAAACUCAGCUAAUGUGAGGGGAGGGAAGAAUUUUAAGCAGAGACUUGAAUUUGGUCAAAGUUGCAGAAAAGCUCUAUUUAGAACAGUGUUUCUCAACCUUAGGAAAUUUAAGAUAUGUGGACUUCAACCCCCCCACCCACCCCGAAUUCCCUCACUAGUAUGGCUGGCUGGGGAAUUCUGGGAGUUGAAGUCCACAUGUCCUAAAGUUUCUACAGUUGAGAAACAUUGCUUUAGAAUCAUGACUUAGGAAAAUCAGUGGGAAUAGAGUUCCGAACCUAAUAUUAUCCUGCUCACAACAGGUAGAACUUAAAGGACCUGCUUCAGAGUUUGCACACUCUAAAAUUUGUCACAAUCAUCUGUGAUCCUAAAUUCAAACCUUGCACUUUGAGAUGCCUGCCUUUUAAUUGUGUCUACCAGGCCUCCUUAUUUUGUCUUGUAAUGGAUUUAAUACAGACCGGUUGUCAGAUGCGAAGGAUCAGGUCCACAUAUGAAGAUCCAGUUAAACUGAUUUAUUGCUAAUAAUGUAUAUGCACAGAAAUCUUCUCAACUAAUAGGCUAGAUAAGAGUCAACAGAAUUCAAGGGAGGUUGAACUUAGUUUACUUGUGGCUAUGUAAGAAUUCUAGGCUGAUUCCUUUUUUGUAAUGUCACCCUCAGGUUCUGCCAUUCCUUCUCCUAUACUGGGAUAAUGCAUUUACUUACGAACGUUUGAAAAAGUUUUGAAUAAAGUAAUAUAAUAAAAUAAACAUAAUGAAAUAAAAUGGCAGUUUUCCUGCCCUACUUGCCCAAGCAUAAAAUUAGGCAGUGAAUAUGCACCCUCACAACCACUGGUUCAUUCCGUGAGUGGGGAUGGUUAAUGAGAUAUAUGAGAUUCAUUUAGCCUAGUUUAACAUGAUGCAUCAAUUCUCAAGUGUAGCUUUGCCCAUCUGGAAGAUGCCUGAAAAUAAAGCCAAAAACAAACAAAAUCCACAUGUCAUGAUGUUAACCAAAUAGAUGGCUUGUUGGCUACAUAUUCACAUGGCAGGAGCCUGUGAUUGAUUCACCACCAAGACUAGGUAAGUGCAGUGGUUCAUUGGGAUUGGCCUGAGAUAUACAAGUCCCUCCAAAUAUUGUUGCAGUUGCUAUACUUUUUUAACAAAAAGCUUCUCACAAAAUAGAUGCACUGCUGUAAGCAAAAAUCCAAACAGCUGCAUCCACCAUCUUCAUUUCCCAGAGGAUGAGAAAUCUGUGAGAAUAAAAUAGAAGGAGAGAAAGAGUUCAGCUACUUACCCACUGAGUAAGAAGAGAUCCGAGACAAGACGUAAAAGGAAAAUGAACAUCCAGAAGUCCAGUAUUCUUUUAUGAAUAGCAGGAGCAAGUAGGUCAAUGCUGAGAAAAGCGAGUGGUGAUUAUCCUUCCAAGAAAGCAGCUUUCUCAGUGUCUACUCCACCAUGACUGCACCAUGGAACAAGGUUAACCUGUGAAUGUGAUGAUCUAUCUUAUUUGUCUGAAUGUGAAGAUCUUUCCUCUAUUGGCAAGCUGUCCUUUUAAUUCUCCAUGCUUCUGAAGGUAGUAUCAUCAGUAGAAAAUGUUAGUGGUGGCUGGUUCAUAGUUUCUUAUUAGUGUUAAUUUUGAUAGGGACCUAUACAGUAUCUAUAGGAUGUGUUUGGAUCAGUGUUGUCUCCUAAUGAUUGCCUGAAGGAAUCCCUGCAAUUAUCUUGGCAAGAUUUCAGAAGUGAUUGACCAUUGUCGCCUUCCUAGGGUUAAGAGAAAGUGACUGGCCCAAGUCAUCCAGCUGGCUUUGGGCUUAAGGCAGGAUUAGAAAUCAUGGUCUUUCAAUUUCUAGCCUGGUGCCUUAACCACUGCAUCAAACUGAUUCUUAUCUUCAUAAAUCUACCUGCUUAUUAAGAUUUACUUAUCAAGCUUGGCUAGAGUUCUCUUUGCUAAUGGAAGAGUGGUUUUGGUAAGUCUGUUUUCUCAGUGGCACAUGAAAACUGUCCUGGUCCAAGAGAUUCUUCUGCUGAUCUGUAUUUGUGUUACAUAUUUUACUUGCCAUUUAAUUACCUUGAAUAUAUACGGCUAAGUUUGUAAGCCAAUAUGAAGCAAUGUAUAAAUAUUUCAAAUAAAAAUGUUCAAAAUCUG